GAGAGCGGCUGCGUGUACAGCCUUGUUUGGCGUUUAGCCGCGGCUGCUCUGUUCGGCUGAUGAAUGUGAUCGCAUCGGUCCUCCUCCAGAAAUCAUUUGGGUGGAUAAUAUCCCCGCAGUGGCGUCACCGCUGUCUCGUUCCAGGAGCUGCUGGCCUUUAUUGAUCAGGGUCGAUGAUCUCCUCUUUAGACGGUGGUGGUGGUUCUUCAUUGUGUGUUGUGGCCUUUUGCAUGCACUGGGGUUUUUAUUUUGGUAUGUGAGUGUGUUAUGUAGAUUAGGAGCCCUUUCUGGAAAGUCUUUCCUGUACUUUAGGCCGCAGCUCCAUGACAUUUUGAAUGAUUAACGAUCGUAUAAACCUUUCUAAAUUGAUGUUUCUAUUUUAUUGAUUUUAUGCUACCUUAAUAAAAGAUUGGUGUUUGA